rnacentral:rRNA from 1 species
UACGGAGGGUGCAAGCGUUGUUCGGAAUUAUUGGGCGUAAAGCGCGUGCAGGCGGUUGGAUAAGUCAGAUGUGAAAGCCUUCCGCUUAACGGAAGAAGUGCAUUUGAAACUAUUCGGCUAGAGUACGGGAGAGGAGAGUGGAAUUCCCGGUGUAGAGGUGAAAUUCGUAGAUAUCGGGAGGAACACCAGUGGCGAAGGCGGCUCUCUGGUCCGAUACUGACGCUGAGACGCGAAAGCGUGGGGAGCAAACAGG